GACGAACGCUGGCGGCGUGCUUAACACAUGCAAGUCGAACGGACAGGCCCUGAUUUUGUGGGGUGCUCGAGUGGCGCACGGGUGAGUAACACGUGAGUAUCCUGCACUUGUCUUUGGGAUAACUUCAGGAAACUGGGGCUCAUAUCGGAUAUGAGCUACUGCUGCAUGGUGGGGGAUGGAAAGUUUCGGCGGUUGUGGAUCGACUAGCGGCUUAUCCGCUUGUUGGUGGGGUAGUGGCUGACCAAGGCUUUGACGGGUAGCCGGCAUGAGAGGGGGACCGGCCACAUUGGGACUGAGAUACGGCGCAGACGCCUACGGGAGGCAGCAGUGGGGAAUAUUGCACAAUGGGCGGAAGCCUGAUGCAGCAACGCCGCGUGCGGGAUGACGGCCUUCGAGUUGUAAACCGCUGUCGCCGGUAACGAAGCGUGAGUGACGGUAAUGGGUAAAGAAGCACCGGCUAACUACGUG
rnacentral:rRNA from 1 species